rnacentral:rRNA from 1 species
CAACUUUCAACAAUGGAUCUCUUGGCUCUCGCAUCGAUGAAGAACGCAGCGAAAUGCGAUACGUAAUGUGAAUUGCAGAAUUCCGUGAAUCAUUGAAUCUUUGAACGCACCUUGCGCCCUUUGGUAUUCCGAAGGGCAUGCCUGUUUGAGUGUCAU